UUCCUUGCUUUCUACCAUUUUGAUUUCUUCUUCAUGCUGCACUGACAGAUUUCCUUCUGAGAGGCAUGAUGAUGUCAACAUGUUAGGUCCUAGAGGGCAGCAAGUGGCACAUCAGGGAUUCAAAGAUGAAUCGCAGGAGCAUGGGCCCAGGGGGAGAGAUAAAGUUGUCAGGAAGUCCACGCUGUUGCCACUCUCUUGACUUGAACUGAGACUGCUGCCUCCAGUGCUGGCUCUUGGUGCAGCUCUUGGCCUCUUGCGGGAGGCUGGGACUCUCACCUGACACUGAAGAUGCUUCUGAUUUCCCCCCUAUCAAGAGCUGGUAAUGAAUCUCUGUUCAGAGUUUUCUCAAGGCAAGGCAAACAGCAAACCAAGUGUCCCUCUUUAUGCAGCAUAAAAGGGGUUCCAUGUUGACAAGUUUCACUGUGUUAAACAUGGUGAAUUAGACCUGGUUUGCUGCUGUCUUUUACACUGAUGGCACUCCAGAGAAUCCAAACAACGGGGACAGCAUCAUACAGAAAUAACAAUUUCAGGCCACAAAAGUCUCCCUUUAAUUUGCGUGUGCUGGUGGAUGCUUAAUUGCCAUUGCAAGUAAGCUGACUACUCUGGAACAUUCUUUUUCUUCCACAGCAUGUAUAGGUGUUUGUAUGUAUGUGCACUUGUGUGUGUUUCUAACUAUGUGCAAUACAUUUGCCUUCUGUCAGCUCCUUAUUCCCAGCCCUUUGGAGCCAUACCUCAGUUAGGCUUAGUGAAAGAGGGUGAUGCUGCAGUGGGGCUGUUGCUAUUGCACAUAUGUAUUCUUUGGACAGGCUUCUGAUUUCUUUUGCUGCUAAUGGGUAAUUUAGCAGAAGAUGAAACAAAGAAAUAGCUUUACGUAUGGCAUACCAAGAUGCACUGGCUGGUAGAAACAGGGUGAGCGUACAGCUAACUGAUUGCCUGGGAGUAGCCCUUUUUGUGUGUCUGAGACAAUGUUUGCGUAACUAUAUGUCUGUCUUUACCAGGCAAGGAUUAUGGGAUGUACUUGAAAGCAUUUAAAAAUGGUUUUGUUGUCUUUUUGUUGUCUUCUAACGGGGGAGAUGGUGGUGGGAUACCAUUGUCUGCAUAGGUCAGUGAAAGGAAAGGAUGAAUGAUGAGCACUGUGAUCUGUUCUUCAAACCUCUCUGAAGAAGGCAGUACUGGCAGAAGUGAGGGCAUGACUUGCCAUUCUUAUUUUAGUACUUAUUUUGGGAGUAUCAAGUCAGCUAACAUCUCUGCUCUCUGCUGAUUUCUUUUACAGAUUGCCACUCCCCCAGAAACUUUCUGGCUGCUGAGGGAAACAUCCUUCUAGAGCAUGCCUUUCCAGCGGGUCCCGCCUGAGGCUCCAGCUUUGCCUAAGCAAUCCUGAAUGAUUUUGCGCUUGUUCCGUGCUACACCUCCCGUGAUUAUUCCUGCUCAGACAGCACUGCACUGCAAGCGAUGUUCCACAGUUACUUGGGUAAUGCUGCUGUGAGCUGUCUUCCUGCCAGCCAGGUUUCUAAGCUGAGUUGAAAGCAGACUUCCAAGAGAAACCAGCUUCCAAAAACUUCCAUUAUGAGUCAGUGGUCAGACCUGUGGAGGAAAAUCGGAAAUUCAAGCCAUUUAUUUUGGACUAUAAAUGCAGUGUAAGCUUUUUGAGGCAACUUGCUCUCUUCCAGUUCCAUACAAAGAAGCGCUUGAAUAUUUGAGAUGCAGGUAAUUGCAGUGCUGAACCUGUCAAAUGAGGCUGCAGCAGCCCCACCUUAUCUGACAGCCCUGCAAAUAUGGGAGUCAACAGACAAGUCACUGGGCUGCCUAAAGCACCAGGGGGGCAGUAACCCAGUGGGUGGGCUAGCAGAGUUCUGCCCGCAGGGAAAUCGCUUUAAACACAGCCUUUUUUCCACUCUGCCUAGAGUUCAAGCACUGAAGAUGUUCUCAGUGUGAUGCAGAAAUUCAUAUGCUGAAACCACAGCUGUAGCCAUGAGGGCUGGCCUCUUCCAGAGCACAGGAAGCAUCAGCAGCUGCCUGUCAAAAAACUGCCUGGAAUGAGAUAACAGUUUGCUUCAAGCUAGUGAGGAAAAUCCAUCUUCCCUUGGUGUUGAGUGAAAGCAGUGAAGCGGGACUCCCUUCUUCCCUGGAGGCGUUUGUGAGCUGUAUUUAGAGAUAAACCAUCUGUGAUACAGACCUCAAAGCCAGAAACUCUGGCCACAAUGUUCUGUAGACUGUACAUACAACAUUUCGGGGGUAACUGCUGUAAAAAAUGGGCAGCACUGUGGUGCAGAGUUCUGCCUUCCCAUUCCAAGGUUUCUGUCUUACUUGCAUCAUGCAUCAAGCAUGUAACAUGCAGUUCAAUGGCGGUUGCUUUGGCUGGCUACACAGGCUAAAUGUAAGAGCAUUUCUGUCACUUUUGCUGUUCUGGCCACUGCUCUUCAUCAAAGAGCUGGAAGGAAAGCUCUCAUUAGAGAGGCUUUCUCUCAGUUGUUCAAAAGCCUCCACUUGGCUAAUAGAGGUUUUAGAGAGCUCUUGCUUCUGGUUAGGGUUGCUCUACUUGACUUGAUCUAGACCUGAGGCAGAAUGGAAAAAGGGCAGGCUUAAAAUAAAUUAUGUCUGAGUAAACACAAUUGCUAGAGAUGUGCAGGAUUUUGUUCUGUAAGGUGGCUUAG